rnacentral:rRNA from 1 species
UACGAGAGGCCCAAACGGUAUUCGGAAUCACUGGGCUUAAAGAGUUCGUAGGCGGCGCGGAAAGUGGGGUGUGAAAGCCCUCGGCUUAACCGAGGAAUUGCGCUCCAAACUGUCGCGCUUGAGGAGGCUAGAGGUAAGCGGAACUGAUGGUGGAGCGGUGAAAUGCGUUGAUAUCAUCAGGAACACCGGAGGCGAAGGCGGCUUACUGGGGCCUUUCUGACGCUGAGGAACGAAAGCCAGGGGAGCAAACGGG